UGAGCUCUCUCUCUCUCUCUCUCUCGGUUUUGGACAAGGGAGAGGACCAGAGGAGUCUCGCCCCCUUUUUUACACUCUUUCCUCAUCCGUAGGACUAGUUUUUCACACUUUGCCAAUUCACUUCUCUCAUUCAUUCAUUUCCUUUUUUGCGUCCCAUCAUUUUACUUCUUCUGCCCCCCUUCUCUGCCCCCUUUCUUCUCUUAUUUCUUCCCCGAAAACGCUCUCCUUCUCACAUGUCAAAAACAAAGUACGAAUUUUCUGUUUAUCUAAGAAAAGAAAUACCCCUCCAAACUCCAUCAGCAUAAGCUCUAAAUACAGAAAAUUUCCAUUGCUCACGCAAGAAAAACAAGUACUACUAAUAUACUUGACGCACGGAAUAGGAAGGAAACCAAGAAACAUUCACCAUCACCACCGCUGCCACCACUCUACAUUAUUGUGUGUGCAAAACCAAUCAAAUACUCGCUUCUGUUACAUCUUCUGCGGAUAGAAAAAGAAAGAAGGGCUAUAUGCAUCAUCCACACAUGAUCCUUCUAUCAAAUUCAAGAAGAGUUCAAAACCCUACCCACAUCAUCAUCCUGCAAUCUUAAGGUGGCCUUCGCCACAGAUCAUCAUUUCUUAGAUUCUGGGUCUUUUUGGUGGAUGGAUUCAGCGUCUGGAGGACCGGACUUGAGCGGGGGAGGAGAGGCCGGGCCAUCAUCAGCCAGCGGGAGUGGUAGCGCCGAAGGUGUAGGCGGGUCAACGGCUGCGCCACCCAGUCGUUACGAGUCGCAAAAGCGGCGAGAUUGGAACACUUUCCUGCAGUACCUCAGGAACCACAAGCCGCCACUGACACUAGCUCGGUGUAGCGGAGCGCACGUGAUCGAGUUCUUGAAGUACUUGGAUCAGUUCGGAAAAACUAAGGUGCACGUGGCCGGGUGCCCUUAUUUCGGGCACCCUAAUCCACCAGCCCCAUGCCAGUGCCCGCUCAAGCAAGCUUGGGGCAGUCUUGAUGCCCUCAUCGGACGCCUUAGAGCUGCCUACGAAGAAAACGGUGGAAGACCCGAAUCCAACCCUUUUGGUGCUAGAGCUGUUAGGAUUUAUCUCAGGGAAGUAAGGGAAAGCCAGGCCAAGGCUAGAGGGAUACCUUACGAGAAGAAGAAACGAAAAAGGCCGGCUGCUACGGCCGUGCCCGCUGUGUCGGUGGCUGCGAGUGAUGUUGGAGCUAGUAGUAGUGGCGGUGGGGAUGUAGGAGGAGGAGGAGGUGAUGGUGGUAGUGGUGGCGGGCCUGGAGGUACUCCUACUACUGUGGUUGUUACCACGACGACAGUAUAGCAAAUUUUAUUACUACCAGCAGUACGUCAUUUCCAAUUUUUUUUUUUUAAUAUAAAAAUUUCCCCCCAUUUUCUAGACUAAUUGUGUGCCUUCUAAUUGCGACUACGAGGCUAUCUCGAAUUUCUCAUUGCACUAAAACUUCAAGAAGGAACGUCGGUCGGUGGAAAUUAUUUUGAUCAAUUGUGCUUUUAAGUUAAAAUUUUAGAACGAGGCAGCUAAAGUACGCAUGCAUUAUUUUGCCCAAAAAAACAAAACAUAAAGGCGCAUAUAUAUAUAUUAAUUAGUGUGUUUCAUUCUCUUGCUGCCAACACUUCGUUUCCGGCUUUCUCCUCUUGCAUUACGUCUGUCAUGCUGAUUUUCCCUAUUUAGUUGUUUCUUUUUGUUUUGGGUACAUAGAUAGCCCUUAUGUUUUUUCAUGGCAACCAAGACAAUAUCCGGAAGGAGCUAGGAUAUAGACCAGUGGUACUUCUCCAUCCUUUUUCUUCUAUUGUCUAGUGUAUAACUAUGGCAUUCUUCAUACUGGUCGAUGUCCUGCGGUGAGUGGGGUUGGGCUUCUCUCAUCGUUGAGGUAUGUGUAAUUGUUCAAAUAUGCAUGUCUACAAAUCAAUAAUAAUGUCUGUUCUAUUUUUUGCCAUUUCACAACAUUACACAUUCUUGUAGGAAUCCAUGCCAAGAGCAAAUGCUGAUAAGCCAAGGGCAUAGGCUAUCAAAUAAUGAGUAAUUUAUUAUCAUGUUUUUCGCCCUUUAGGAAAACUCCGCAUGAUUUUUAACACCAUCUAUAAAAUUGACAGAAAUGGUACCUACUCAACAUCCUGAUCCCAAGAUACUCCUGGCAGAAGUCUUAGAGAAUUGAACCUGCUAAAGUGGCCUUGGAAUUUGAUUGUAUUCUGGGACUGUAGGCACUAGUAGGUACUACUAGAACACUUAUGAUUCAUUCUGUUUUUCUCUCAGUCCAUGUUAAAGAGUGUUUUGUAUCCCUCUUAGUUGGUCAGGGGUCUACCCCAAUGUUUGUGCUUCGCUACAUAAAGAACAUUAGUUUCAGGGUUUUCAAAUGGAAGCGACAGCGCUAUGUGCAUAUAAACACAAUAUGACAAUAGGGACGGGAACAGCACUCAAAUAACUAUGAGUAAACUGUCUUCGGGCUCCAGGUAGUGGUAGACUGGUACUUACUUGAUGUACUGUUCUUCUUUGGUCCCCCAUUUAACUGGACGCUUCAGAUGCUGGGAUACCACACCCAAGCAAGGGCCAUGAAAUCUACUUGUAGUUAAGCACACGUUUUAGGUUCUUGAUUUUGCCCCUUUGGGUGUUUAAAAAAUCCAAACUUACGGAUCCUCGACGGCAAGGCUUGCUUGCUUGUAAAGUGUUCGUUUCCAACAUCGUUAGAGUCAGGAUUCGGUCCUUUUAACUCGAUAUUUUUGUACCAGCUGAUUGCGUUUCUGGGGUACGAGUUCGAACCUUCACCCUGGUAAAAGUUUAUGGGAAUCUCAAAAGAGUUCAGAAACAUCCCGAGUCUUGCCUUUCUUGCACUGUUUCUGUACACGGUUCAACUCAUCCUGCAUUUAUCAUCAGCAGUCUCGUUUGUAAAACCUAAAUGGCCCUUCGUCAUGAAUGAAUUUAAUGAGUCUAGAUAGUGAGAGGAAA